GAUGAACGCUGGCGGCGUGCCUAAUACAUGCAAGUCGAGCGAACAGACGAGGAGCUUGCUCCUCUGACGUUAGCGGCGGACGGGUGAGUAACACGUGGAUAACCUACCUAUAAGACUGGGAUAACUUCGGGAAACCGGAGCUAAUACCGGAUAAUAUAUUGAACCGCAUGGUUCAAUAGUGAAAGACGGUUUUGCUGUCACUUAUAGAUGGAUCCGCGCCGCAUUAGCUAGUUGGUAAGGUAACGGCUUACCAAGGCAACGAUGCGUAGCCGACCUGAGAGGGUGAUCAGCCACACUGGAACUGAGACACGGUCCAGACUCCUACGGGAGGCAGCAGUAGGGAAUAUUCCGCAAUGGGCGAAAGCCUGACGGAGCAACGCCGCGUGAGUGAUGAAGGUCUUCGGAUCGUAAAACUCUGUUAUUAGGGAAGAACAAAUGUGUAAGUAACUAUGCACGUCUUGACGGUACCUAAUGAGAAAGCCACGGCUAACUACGUG
rnacentral:rRNA from 1 species